rnacentral:rRNA from 1 species
UACGUAGGUGGCAAGCGUUGUCCGGAUUUACUGGGCGUAAAGAGCGCGCAGGCGGUCGAUCAAGUCGUGUGUGAAAGCCCCCGGCUCAACUGGGGAGGGUCACGCGAUACUGAUCGACUCGAAGGCAGGAGAGGGUAGUGGAAUUCCCGGUGUAGUGGUGAAAUGCGUAGAUAUCGGGAGGAACACCAGUGGCGAAGGCGACUACCUGGCCUGUUCUUGACGCUGAGGCGCGAAAGCUAGGGGAGCAAACGGG